rnacentral:rRNA from 1 species
AUUGAACGCUGGCGGCAGGCCUAACACAUGCAAGUCGAGCGGAAGCAGAGAGGUGCUUGCAUCUUUGCUGUCGAGCGGCGGACGGGUGAGUAAUGCCUAGGGAACUGCCCAGUCGAGGGGGAUAACAGUUGGAAACGACUGCUAAUACCGCAUACGCCCUAGCUUUUGAAAGAGAGCGGGGGAAAGGAGGGGACUCUUCGGGGCCUUUCGCGAUUGGAUGUACCUAGGUGGGAUUAGCUAGUUGGUAAGGUAAUGGCUUACCAAGGCGACGAUCCCUAGCUGUUCUGAGAGGAUGAUCAGCCACACUGGGACUGAGACACGGCCCAG